rnacentral:misc_RNA from 1 species
GCUACUGAAACAGCAAUAGAAUCUGUAAGCCACUGCUGACAUUCUGUCUUAUUUUUCAUGCAACCUGAUUUUACCCUGUUGAGAGAAUUUAAGAUAAAUACUCUCAUACCUUUGGAUGUUGAAGGACUUCAAAAUUUUGUUUUCUUUUAUUAUUUCUUUUAAAAUCUCUCUCUUUCUCUAGAUGUUCAAAGCUGAAGAAAUCCUGUAUUUUCUCUCAAAUUUAGAGUCUUCUUCGAACUUGUUUCUUCUAAUUUGACUUUAUAAUGCAU